GAUGAACGCUGGCGGCGUGCCUAAUACAUGCAAGUCGAGCGAACAGACGAGGAGCUUGCUCCUCUGACGUUAGCGGCGGACGGGUGAGUAACACGUGGAUAACCUACCUAUAAGACUGGGAUAAGUUCGGGAAACCGGAGCUAAUACCGGAUAAUAUAUUGAACCGCAUGGUUCAAUAGUGAAAGACGGUUUUGCUGUCACUUAUAGAUGGAUCCGCGCCGCAUUAGCUAGUUGGUAAGGUAACGGCUUACCAAGGCAACGAUGCGUAGCCGACCUGAGAGGGUGAUCGGCCACACUGGAACUGAGACACGGUCCAGACUCCUACGGGAGGCAGCAGUAGGGAAUCUUCCGCAAUGGGCGAAAGCCUGACAGAGCAACGCCGCGUGAGUGAUGAAGGUCUUCGGAUCGUAAAACUCUGUUAUUAGGGAAGAACAAAUGUGUAAGUAACUAUGCACGUCUUGACGGUACCUAAUCAGAAAGCCACGGCUAACUACGUG
rnacentral:rRNA from 1 species